rnacentral:misc_RNA from 1 species
AGCGAAGCAGGAAAAUGAUGCUUUUUGCUGGCCCCACAUCACUUAAGUGCUUUGCAAAGAAGGUAUCUGCUCAAAUCCCUUAGAAAAUUUCAUUUAUAACUUCUAGCUAUAUGUCCCAAGUGUUUUUCUUGGAAUAGAUGAAGAUUUGUGUUUCUUGGAAAUGACUUAUCUUGGCUUAUCACAUUGAGCUAAGCAAAAUCAAAAUAGUAACUUAUAAUACUAUUGCAAUCACCAUCACUGACAGGCCAACUCCCGUGGCAUUUAUAUCCUUUAACUCUUUCAACAGAAAACACUGUAAGAUUGGCCAUGUCUGCCAACACUAAACCGUCUCUAACUCUCUAUAGCUGGCACAUCCUUCACAGCCAUGUCUUAACCAUUCACUGCUAACGUCCUUUACAUCACAGGAUCAACUGUUGCAGUGAUGUGUUGUGUGCUUAUAUAAAAGGAACACUCAAGUGUGCAUUUGUGUGUGCUUUUUUGUCUGUGGAUCCACUUAAAAUGUUGCUGCUUUUCCUUCAUAUCUAGCAAUAACCAAGUAUGGCAAGAAGUUGCUUUGUAUAGCUCAUUUAUGAGCAUACUUUUACCAUGCUAUGAGCCAAAGUAGUACAAGAUGCUUGCUCUUUCUCCAUUUAUAUAUAAUUUGCUUACAAUGGCUGUUUCCUUACUAUGGUUUUAAAUAAUGUGUGGUACGUUACAUGAAGGAAUGUUGGCCUGCCGAUCUGUUAUUUACCAUUGCAGCUACGGUGAUUCACAAAUCAUGGCAAAAUGCAUGCGAGACAUCGUGCAAUACGCAGCAAUAUGGGCCCUUUCACUGUUUCGUAACAAUUAAGCUGCAGAAUCUUUGCUUUGAUAUUCUGCUGCAUUGAUUUACUUUUUAUUUUAGUCAAUUUGGUAACGGGUUAAAAAAAACUCAUGGCUGACGAUUCAGUUCGUUUCAGUGUUUCCGAUUCUGUAAUUUAGAAUCCUGUUCCUUACUAAACACUGUCAUCAAUAUUUAGGUAUUUGCUUGGUUCUGUUUUAUAUCCCUUUUUAAUUCUCAUAAAACAGUAAUCAUAUCUUAAAUUGAUGAUAUGUUGGAAAUAAACUUGCUGAGUUAAAUGGGCUUCAUUCUUGCAUUUGGUUUUUUGAAGACUAAAGUAUUGUGCUUGGUUUGGCACAGGAAGCGGGUGCCUGAGUAUCUGGUAGCUUCAGUGGCAUGUACACCAGAUCUUCUAAAGCAGCACAACUGAAAUGCUAAAGAGCAGAAGACAGUUUAUAUAGUCCCUCCUCACACGUUGAUACUGAUUCAAAAUCAUUCCUUUUUCUGAGAAUGAGAAUUGAAUGUGCUAUUCGUGCUUGAAUGCUUGAUCUCUCUGCAAUAUAAAGAAUUUCAUUAACAAAUUCAACUCUGCUGCAUUUGUUCCCUUUGAAUGGAGAGAUCAUUUGAUGUUGUGUUGGGGUUUCUUCACUAUCCUAUUGCAUAUGAUUGUGCA